rnacentral:rRNA from 1 species
UACGUAGGGACCGAGCGUUGUCCGGAUUCAUUGGGCGUAAAGAGCUCGUAGGCGGCCACUCAAGUCGAAUGUGAAACCUCGAGGCUCAACCUCGAGCCUGCAUUCGAUACUGGGCGGCUAGAGUCUGGUAGGGGGGAUCUGGAAUUCCUGGUGUAGCGGUGGAAUGCGCAGAUAUCAGGAGGAACACCGGUGGCGAAGGCGGGAUCCUGGGCCAGUACUGACGCUGAGGAGCGAAAGCGUGGGGAGCAAACAGGG